rnacentral:rRNA from 1 species
AACGAACGCUGGCGGCAUGCCUAACACAUGCAAGUCGAACGAGACCUUCGGGUCUAGUGGCGCACGGGUGCGUAACGCGUGGGAACCUGCCCUUAGGUUCGGAAUAACUCCCCGAAAGGGGUGCUAAUACCGGAUAAUGUCUUCGGACCAAAGAUUUAUCGCCUUUGGAUGGGCCCGCGUUGGAUUAGCUAGUUGGUAGGGUAAAAGCCUACCAAGGCGACGAUCCAUAGCUGGUCUGAGAGGAUGAUCAGCCACACUGGGACUGAGACACGGCCCAGACUCCUACGGGAGGCAGCAGUGGGGAAUAUUGGACAAUGGGCGAAAGCCUGAUCCAGCCAUGCCGCGUGAGUGAUGAAGGCCUUAGGGUUGUAAAGCUCUUUUACCCGGGAUGAUAAUGACAGUACCGGGAGAAUAAGCGCCGGCUAACUCCGUG